GGUAAGCACGGGGAGUUGGCUCAGGUCUUCAACCUGACCCUGCCACACUCCCCGUGUGCCACCCCAAAACAAUUUUUUGGGGCUGCCUCUCGGGCUUCCUUGCCAGCUGUGUUCCCUCAUAACGACGCCUCUCAGCUUUAGCUACUUCCAGUUCCUCCCGUGGACAGCGAUACUCCCCAGCCUGCCUCCAGGGUCAUAUCCCAUCCAGAAUCUCUUCCCAUGUCGAGGAGUCCUGACCACGCUGCUUGGUCCCUUUGUGGUGGGAAGUUCUGUCGCGGCUGUUGAAGGAGGAGGACCAAGGUGCAGCGUGGCCCCAGAAUCAGCAGUGACUGGCCGGUGAUGGGCAUGCCCCCACAGAGUAAAUUCCCAGACCAUACCUAAAUGAUUAUUGCACUGUCGGUCAAUUCUUGCUGUUCAGUUCCAUAAACUGGUGCUGUCUUACCAGGAAGAUGCACACACAAAAAAUAAUCCACUCUUACAUUCUUUAUGUGUCCAACAUGACUAAAAUAUUUGUUUGAUGGAAACAUUAAUGUGAAAGUAAAGAUGACAAUGGAUCUCUCUAUUCUCGCUUGGCUGUGGGCUGGAAUUUUUCCUCCUUUUGUUUGUCUCUGAAGUAAGGGGGAAAUAGUUCAUGUUAGCUAUUCAGCUUUAAAAGCAAUUGAGGGAAAAUAAAACCACAUGUGAGGUUUGACAGUAAUCCAGCCAAGAGGUUUUUCUUUUUUUGGUUUUAGCAUGCUCUGGUGCUCUCCCUGUUCACAGACACAUCUUAAUACUGCUUUCCUUUUCUUGUCCAGUCAGCGGGGAGAAAAAAAAAGAUUGUCGACUGGAAACUGUUUUAGUACCACAGACUCCACAGGAAGACACUCAAACCAUAGGGUGCCGUCAAAACCCGCAACACCGGCCACAGAUGAGACGGACAGACUCACAGCUCCACUGUUAAGCAGAGAGGGGGAGCCUCUCUCUUCAAACUGAGAACUCACAGAACGCCACUACACCUCCAAAUGACACCACCAGACAAUUAAUACAGGAAUCAAGGACCUGUAAAAUUGUUCUAUAACUGUCCAAAACGAACAGAACAUGUCAAACUGAGGAAUGCUACUAGCUAAGGAAAGGAAUUACGUUUUUAUACUGUAUGCUACAGAACUCUCAAAUCACUCCUUGUCCAGUCUCCAUCCUGCCCCUGUUCUUCCUUCCUCAGUCUUUUCACAAUGUUUCUGUUGUCUUAUUUAUAUGCUGAUCUCAAAUAGAUCAAACUGUUAUUUUUAAUGACUGUGCAUAUUCUUCUGCUUGCAUUCUAGAGGCUGCAAGAGAUCUUUACAGAUGUAAAUAAACUAUGUUAACUUGUGACUUGGACUUGUGCUUUCACUGCAGGUACACACAUCCUUUCGAAAAUCUAUGCAGAACUGCAGAACCUGGC
ensembl:lncRNA